rnacentral:rRNA from 1 species
GACGAACGCUGGCGGCGUGCCUAAUACAUGCAAGUAGAACGCUGAAGAGAGGAGCUUACUCUUCUUGGAUGAGUUGCGAACGGGUGAGUAACGCGUAGGUAACCUGCCUUGUAGCGGGGGAUAACUAUUGGAAACGAUAGCUAAUACCGCAUAACAAUGGAUGACACAUGUCAUUUAUUUGAAAGGGGCAAUUGCUCCACUACAAGAUGGACCUGCGUUGUAUUAGCUAGUAGGUGAGGUAAUGGCUCACCUAGGCGACGAUACAUAGCCGACCUGAGAGGGUGAUCCGCCACACUGGGACUGAGACACGGCCCAGACUCCUACGGGAGGCAACAGUAGGGAAUCUUCGGCAAUGGGGGCAAAGCUGAACGAGCAACGCCGCGUGAGUGAAGAAGGUUUUCGGAUCGUAAAGCUCUGUUGUAAGUCAAGAAAGGGUGUGAGAGUGGAAAGUUCACAUUGUGACGGUAGCUUACCAGAAAGGGACGGCUAACUACGUG